GCUCACCGAUUAUUGUACAUAAAACAGCUUUGUACUUGCAAUUACGAGGAGAAGUGACAGGACAGUACCCGACUGGGAAAAGUGGAAGCUGCUGAGAUUAAUCAAGUGUUCCCAUGGCAAGAACUACUCUGGAAUACGUGCCAGAAGGAAACAAAGCUACUUGCCCCAGAGUUGCGUUAACCACUGCAGUGAUCCAUAAUCAAGCAUUGAAGCUUCUGCAGCUCUAAAGGAUGACUGAAAAAAAGGACCACCUCAUCUAAUUUCAGCUGCCUACAAGCUAGAAGUCUAGUCUAGUCUCUCUUAGGCUCUCUUUAUAGUUAGCAUCACCUUCAGAAGGAGAUUCAUCGUCCCUUUUGUGAAGAAAUCGUUGUUACUUUCAAACAAAGACACUGUGCAAUCCUGGGCCAUAACAUCAAUAACCGAGGUUCUGCAAUCUGCAACCCCCAGCAUAAAAAAUAAAGUAGAUUACACCUGUCAAAGACAAGUUUUCAUUUUCCUAGACAUUUGGCCAUUUUGUUCUUACUCACCCACUUAGACUGCAGCUCCCUCUCGUAUCUUAAGCACCA